rnacentral:rRNA from 1 species
GUUAUAGCGAGGAGGAAACACCCGUUCCCAUCCCGAACACGGAAGUUAAGCUCCUCAGCGCCCAUGGUACUGCGAGGGCAACCUCGUGGGAGAGUAGGUCACUGCCAUUC